rnacentral:lncRNA from 1 species
GCUAAAUACACGUUCCCUGAGAAAAGCAACAGAAGGUAAUGCCGGAUUGUAAGAAAGACUGCCUUCCAAGAGAUUUGUACCUAUCCAAAUCCCAUCAACAUUAGAAAAGAGAUGGCAUGUUCUCUCCAGCUCCCCAACCAUGGGCAUUGAAAGAUUUUUUGAAAAGUUCUUAGAGAAGGGAAAACGGAGGUUCAGAGAAAACAGACGUGGCCAGGUCACAAAGUGGAACUUGGGAGACAGGUCGGUAAGGCUCUUCACUACUGGGCUACCCUGCCUCUCUUGCCAUAGACAUUAGUGACCCUUCUUCAGGGGAGU